GAGUUUGAUCCUGGCUCAGGAUGAACGCUAGCGGCAGGCCUAACACAUGCAAGUCGAGGGGUAACAGGAGAGAGCUUGCUUUCUUGCUGACGACCGGCGCACGGGUGCGUAACAGGUAUACAAUCUACCUCAUACUGGGGAAUAGCCCGGAGAAAUUCGGAUUAAUGCCCCAUAAUAUAUUUGAUUCGCAUGUUUUAAAUAUUAAAGAUUUAUCGGUAUGAGAUGAGUAUGCUUCCCAUUAGCUAGUUGGUAAGGUAAUGGCUUACCAAGGCUACGAUGGGUAGGGGGCCUGAGAGGGUAAUCCCCCACACUGGUACUGAGACACGGACCAGACUCCUACGGGAGGCAGCAGUGAGGAAUAUUGGGCAAUGGAGGCAACUCUGACCCAGCCAUGCCGCGUGCAGGAAGAAUGCCUUAUGGGUUGUAAACUGCUUUUAUUUGGGAAGAAACCUUUCUACGUGUAGAGAGCUGACGGUACCAAACGAAUAAGGACCGGCUAACUCCGUGCCAGCAGCCGCGGUAAUACGGAGGGUCCAAGCGUUAUCCGGAAUCAUUGGGUUUAAAGGGUCCGUAGGCGGGAUGAUAAGUCAGUGGUGAAAUCCUACAGCUUAACUGUAGAACUGCCAUUGAUACUGUCGUUCUUGAAUUUGGUCGAAGUGGGCGGAAUAAGUAGUGUAGCGGUGAAAUGCAUAGAUAUUACUUAGAACACCGAUAGUGAAGACAGCUCACUAGGCCUGAAUUGACGCUGAGGGACGAAAGCGUGGGGAGCGAACAGGAUUAGAUACCCUGGUAGUCCACGCCGUAAACGAUGAUUACUCGAUAUUGGCGAUACACAGUCAGUGUCUAAGCGAAAGUGAUAAGUAAUCCACCUGGGGGAGUACGAUCGCAAGGUUGAAACUCAAAGGAAUUGACGG
rnacentral:rRNA from 1 species